rnacentral:rRNA from 1 species
GACGAACGCUGGCGGCGUGCUUAACACAUGCAAGUCGAACGAAGAGCGAUGGAAGCUUGCUUCUAUCAAUCUUAGUGGCGAACGGGUGAGUAACGCGUAAUCAACCUGCCCUUCAGAGGGGGACAACAGUUGGAAACGACUGCUAAUACCGCAUACGAUCCAAUCUCGGCAUCGGGACUGGAUGAAAGGUGGCCUCUAUUUAUAAGCUAUCACUGAAGGAGGGGAUUGCGUCUGAUUAGCUAGUUGGAGGGGUAACGGCCCACCAAGGCGAUGAUCAGUAGCCGGUCUGAGAGGAUGAACGGCCACAUUGGGACUGAGACACGGCCCAGACUCCUACGGGAGGCAGCAGUGGGGAAUCUUCCGCAAUGGACGAAAGUCUGACGGAGCAACGCCGCGUGAGUGAUGACGGCCUUCGGGUUGUAAAGCUCGGUUAAUCGGGACGAAUGGUUCUUGUGCGAAUAGUGCGAGGAUUUGACGGUACCGGAAGAGAAAGCCACGGCUAACUACGUG